GAGUAGCCGCCGGAAGAACGGGAAUCAUUGAUGUUGGUUAACAUGGACUAUUGUCCGCUGCUCA
rnacentral:tRNA from 1 species